rnacentral:rRNA from 1 species
AGAGUUUGAUCCUGGCUCAGGACGAACGCUGGCGGCGCGCCUAACACAUGCAAGUCGAACGAGCGAGAGAGAGCUUGCUUUCUCGAGCGAGUGGCGAACGGGUGAGUAACGCGUGAGGAACCUGCCUCAAAGAGGGGGACAACAGUUGGAAACGACUGCUAAUACCGCAUAAGCCCACGGGUCGGCAUCGACCAGAGGGAAAAGGAGCAAUCCGCUUUGAGAUGGCCUCGCGUCCGAUUAGCUAGUUGGUGAGGUAACGGCCCACCAAGGCGACGAUCGGUAGCCGGACUGAGAGGUUGAACGGCCACAUUGGGACUGAGACACGGCCCAGACUCCUACGGGAGGCAGCAGUGGGGAAUAUUGCACAAUGGGGGAAACCCUGAUGCAGCGACGCCGCGUGGAGGAAGAAGGUCUUCGGAUUGUAAACUCCUGUUGUUGAGGAAGAUAAUGACGGUACUCAACAAGGAAGUGACGGCUAACUACGUGCCAGCAGCCGCGGUAAAACGUAGGUCACAAGCGUUGUCCGGAAUUACUGGGUGUAAAGGGAGCGCAGGCGGGAAGACAAGUUGGAAGUGAAAUCCAUGGGCUUAACCCAUGAACUGCUUUCAAAACUGUUUUUCUUGAGUAGUGCAGAGGUAGGCGGAAUUCCCGGUGUAGCGGUGGAAUGCGUAGAUAUCGGGAGGAACACCAGUGGCGAAGGCGGCCUACUGGGCACCAACUGACGCUGAGGCUCGAAAGUGUGGGUAGCAAACAGGAUUAGAUACCCUGGUAGUCCACACCGUAAACGAUGAUUACUAGGUGUUGGAGGAUUGACCCCUUCAGUGCCGCAGUUAACACAAUAAGUAAUCCACCUGGGGAGUACGACCGCAAGGUUGAAACUCAAAGGAAUUGACGGGGGCCCGCACAAGCAGUGGAGUAUGUGGUUUAAUUCGACGCAACGCGAAGAACCUUACCAAGUCUUGACAUCCGUUGACCGACAUAGAAAUAUGUUUUUCCUUCGGGACAGCGAGACAGGUGGUGCAUGGUUGUCGUCAGAUCGUGUCGUGAGAUGUUGGGUUAAGUCCCGCAACGAGCGCAACCCUUAUGGUCAGUUACUACGCAAGAGGACUCUGGCCAGACUGCCGUUGACAAAACGGAGGAAGGUGGGGAUGACGUCAAAUCAUCAUGCCCUUUAUGACUUGGGCUACACACGUACUACAAUGGCGUUAAACAAAGAGAAGCAAGACCGCGAGGUGGAGCAAAACUCAGAAACAACGUCCCAGUUCGGACUGCAGGCUGCAACUCGCCUGCACGAAGUCGGAAUUGCUAGUAAUCGUGGAUCAGCAUGCCACGGCGAAUACGUUCCCGGGCCUUGUACACACCGCCCGUCACACCA